rnacentral:rRNA from 1 species
UACGAGGGGGGCGAGCGUUGUUCGGAAUUAUUGGGCGUAAAGCGUGCGCAGGCGGUCUGUUAAGACAGAUGUGAAAUCCCCGGGCUUAACCUGGGAACUGCAUUUGUGACUGGCAGGCUAGAGUAUGGCAGAGGGGGGUAGAAUUCCACGGUGUAGCAGUGAAAUGCGUAGAGAUGUGGAGGAAUACCGAUGGCGAAGGCAGCCCCCUGGGCCAAUACUGACCGCUCAUGCACGAAAGCGUGGGGAGCAAACAGG